rnacentral:rRNA from 1 species
UACGGAGGGAGCUAGCGUUGUUCGGAAUUACUGGGCGUAAAGCGUGCGCAGGCGGUUUUGUAAGUCAGAUGUGAAAUCCCCGGGCUCAACCUGGGAAUGGCGAUGGAUACUGGCUCGCUAGAGUGUGAUAGAGGAUGGUGGAAUUCCCGGUGUAGCGGUGAAAUGCGUAGAGAUCGGGGAGGAACAUCAGUGGCGAAGGCGGCCAUCUGGAUCAACACUGACGCUGAGGCACGAAAGCGUGGGGAGCAAACAGG